CCUGGCCGUUCAAGCGGGGCCCCUACACCCGUUCCCAUCCCGAACACGGAAGUGAAAUGCCCCAGCACCGACAAUACCCGGAGGGCAACCUCCCAGGAAUCUAGGCCACCGCCAGGA
rnacentral:rRNA from 1 species